UACGGAGGAUGCAAGCGUUAUCCGGAUUUAUUGGGUUUAAAGGGUGCGUAGGCGGCUUAGUAAGUCAGCGGUGAAAUUUUGCAGCUUAACUGUAACAGUGCCGUUGAUACUGCCAGGCUAGGAUUUGGUUGCUGUGGGUGGAAUGUGUGGUGUAGCGGUGAAAUGCUUAGAUAUCACACAGAAUAUCGAUUGCGAAGGCAGCUCACAAAGCCAAGAUUGACGCUGAGGCACGAAAGUGUGGGGAUCAAACA
rnacentral:rRNA from 1 species